rnacentral:lncRNA from 1 species
UUUGAAUAACCAUAAGCACUAUAAAUAGCAGUGCAUUUAUGUGUUAUGGGAUACACACAAAAAACUAAAUACUUCUCUUUUCUCUCUAUUGUUUCUUCUCUAUUUCUGGGUAAUUAAACAUAAGCUGCUGUUCUUGCUCCUGGGUUACUUGUAAUUCAGAAGGCUUGUUGAAUCCUGGAGGAUACGCAACUGUAGGCGAAUUAUCCUUAAGGACAGUGAUUAUUAUCACGCCAAGCAAUAUUCUGCUCAUCUUUUAUUUAUUUUCUCUAUCUUUUU